rnacentral:lncRNA from 1 species
AAUUACAAAAAAAAAAUUUCGUAAAAUUCGUAUUUGCGUUUAAGGGUGUAAACGAGCCGAACACGAGCUAACUUGUUAAAGUAUCGAGUCGAAAAAUUCAGCUCGUAUUCGGCUCGUUAAUAAACGAGCCGAACACGAGCUAACUUGUUAAAGUAUCGAGUCGAAAAAUUCAGCUCGUAUUCGGCUCGUUAAUAAACGAGCCGAACACGAGCUGGCUCACGAGCUGGCCUACGAACAAGAAGUUAAAAAGAUUAGAUUGAAUAUAUAUAAAAAAUAAAUUUAUAAAAUCUUAUCCAUUAGACUUUUGAUCUAAUAGUUGAAAUUUUACAUAAAAAUAAAUAUUUUUAUAAUUGAGCUCGCCUUUAUAUUUUUAUCUUGCUAAAAAGUAAAUAAUAAAAAAAUAUAUUAUAUAUAUAAUUAUUUAUUUAUAUAUAUAAAUAUAAAUUAAAUAAAUUAUAUAAAUAUAAAAUAUAUGUAUUCGAGCUAUUAUCGAGCCGAACAUGAGCGAGCUGACCCCAGCUCGUGUUCGGCUCGUUUACUAAAUGAGCGAUUCGAUCUCGAGCUCAUUUCGAGCCGAACACGAGUUGGCUCACGAACAGCGAGCUGAAUUACCACCCCUACGUCAAACCACCAACAUUUG